CCUGACCCCAUGCCGAACUCAGAAGUGAAACGCCGUAGCGCCGAUGGUAGUGUGGGGUCUCCCCAUGUGAGAGUAGGGAACCGCCAGGU
rnacentral:rRNA from 1 species